AUACGAAGGGUGCAAGCGUUACUCGGAAUUACUGGGCGUAAAGCGUGCGUAGGUGGUUGUUUAAGUCUGUCGUGAAAGCCCUGGGCUCAACCUGGGAAUGGCGAUGGAAACUGGGCGACUAGAGUGUGGCAGAGGGUAGUGGAAUUCCUGGUGUAGCAGUGAAAUGCGUAGAGAUCAGGAGGAACAUCCGUGGUGAAGGCGACUGCCUGGGCCAACACUGACACUGAGGCACGAAAGCGUGGGGAGCAAACAGGAUUAGAUACCCUGGUAGUCCACGCCCUAAACGAUGCGAACUGGAUGUUGGGUGCAAUUUGGCACGCAGUAUCGAAGCUAACGCGUUAAGUUCGCCGCCUGGGGAGUACGGUCGCAAGACUGAAACUCAAAUGAAUUGGCGGGG
rnacentral:rRNA from 1 species